UCUGUGGUUGCACCCUUGACCGACCUCUUGAAAGCUAAAGCUGAAUAUAUUUGGUCUUCAAUGUGUCAAAAUGCAUUUGACAGUGUAAAAGCCUUGUUGUGUUCAGCCCCAGUGCUGGCAGCGCCACGAUUUGAUCAGCCCUUUAAACUUCAUGUAGAUGCCAGCAAUGUGGGUGUUGGGGCCGUCCUGUUGCAGGAGAAUGCGGAGGGUGUAGAGUGUCCUGUGAGCUUCUUCUCAAGAAAAUUUAACAAGCAUCAAUACAACUAUUCAGUGAUUGAGAAGGAGGCUUUGGCACUUGUUUGGGCUCUGCAGCAUUUUGAUGUCUAUGUCGGCUCAGGGUUAUCUCCGCUGACUGUCUUCACUGACCAUAACCCCCUCACCUUCUUGAAGUCACUGCAAAAUCCUAAUCAGAGGCUAAUGAGGCUGCUGGGUUGGUGAGGAUGGAGGGAUGUGCUGGAGGAUGCAGCCUGGGGGGAGUGCAGUACUGACUGUCAGUUAUUGGUAACGUAUGAACCAUGACAGAUUGGAACAUAUUGACACUUAUUUGAUGUAUAACACGAGGUGGAACCUCGUUCUUAUGGAGGGGGGUGUGACGACCCCUCCCUUUCUGCUAGCAUCAUGCAGCUGAUUACUUCCUGCAGGAGUUGGCAGAAAGGGAGGGUCGUUAGGGCAAGGUGCUCACACCUGGCUAGGCCUCUACCCAAGGUGAUAUAAGCCAGCCUGGUCUCAUUGUCUCUCUCUCUCUCCUAGGCUCCACGCCGCUACAGGUUCUUGGUUCUUGGUUCUUUUUGGCGUCUUCCUUGUACACUCAACAGCAGCACACACAUCUCACUCAUCCAUACACUACAUUCACCACUGAUGCCACUACUCUCCACACCUCAUGCUUUUUGUACAUAUAAUUGUUCAAGUUAUAAUAAAACCUUUUCAUUUAGCACUUUCAA